UACGUAGGUGGCAAGCGUUGUCCGGAUUUAUUGGGUUUAAAGGGUGCGUAGGCGGCCUAUUAAGUCAGUGCUGAAAUAUCCCGGCUUAACCGGGAGGGUGGCAUUGAUACUGAUGGGCUUGAGUGGAGUCGAGGUAGGCGGAAUUGACGGUGUAGCGGUGAAAUGCUUAGAGAUGACAUAGAACACCUAUUGCGAAGGCAGCAGGCUAAACGAACAUUGACGCUGAGGCACGAAAGCGUGGGGAUCAAACAGG
rnacentral:rRNA from 1 species